rnacentral:lncRNA from 1 species
GGAGAGGAAAGACCUCUGGGACGUUUGCAGAAGACAUUAAGGAGGGUACACUCGGUUAUACCAUACAUCCAUAUCUUUAGCAGGGAGCCAUGCAGUAAAACUAAUGAUUUUCGAAGUCUGAGUUGGCCUUUUUACAGGGGUUACUAAUGGCAAUUUCUCCUUGACCCUUAUAUCUCUCGUACGGCGACCAUCUAGCUGACCGGGCGAUUGUUUACGCACUUGAAUAAAGCAAGGAGACAACGUUGAUGACAACACAAAAAUGUGUCCACACUAAUUGUUUUCGCCCUUGUGCAUGUACUAUGGAGACCUAAGGCUGGUUUAUACUCCUCCGUAAAGUCUGUAGACACGGAGAGCCAUCGACGCUAUUAUGCCUAUUUUAACAGGUUUGAUGUUGAUUAUCCAUUACAAAAUCGACGCGAGAUACAUCACAAGGGAAAGUGUUGACCCAGAUCGGUGAUGGAUGGAUAGGUGGAUGCUGAAGGAAGAGGAUGACCUCAUGAACAGCUAGGGAUCUUUGUGGACAUCUGAAAAACUAGGAGUCCAACAUAAACUAUAUCACCCUGAUUCUGGCUGAUUCUUACCAUUCCAAACAGAUGGACGAUAAGGGAAAUAAACUGAGUUAUUAAACACCUGCAUAUGAGCUUGUGGGUUUAUAAAACCGAUGAGGCAAUUAAAGGUUGCGAACUGUGCAACUGAACAAAUGUUUAAAAAUAGCUUCUGACCACUGUUUGGGUAGUCUUCUGUACCUAUAUAUCUUAAACAGAAACCAGAGACAGUUUGUAUGGAAACAGCUGAACAAUUCUCUCAACGCCGCGUUAUUACGAGCGCAUGUUCUGUCACGGGUGCGUGCACAGGUAAAUGCGCUUCCGCGUGAGUGCACGGCGGCGCGGAUAGCGUUUCCGACACGACAAGAGACGCAGCGGUGGGCAGCGGUAAUAUAACGAUGAUAAAAUAAUGUGAAGAAGACACCUGAGGAUGGACCUUCAAGGCGGGAGGAUUUGCAGAAACCCCGUCAAAGUAUUCGCCUGCGCCUCUCUAUGUCUCUCAGAGCGCUCAAGACUUGCACCAGCGUGGACACCAGGGAGGAUUAACGCAUGUCGACAUAACAACAUGACGGACUGGGCCAGCGGAUGACAUCAUGCACAUCAAUGUCCACCCUGGCAGACAAUGAGGCGACUUUAGGUCUGGAAGAUCCUAAGUUAUAAAGUUAUAGACUGGGGGAAGUCGAUUCAGGUUAGUAUCAUCCUUCUUCGCUUCUGGCGUGAUGCAUCUAUUGUGUUCGUCAAUUUGAAUCAAGUAUGUCUUCAAAGGACUUUUGAACACAAAACAAAAUGUUAAAAGACACAAAAGAUACCAUCACAGAAAAUAAUCGUCAUAUUGCGUUUCAUUUUUUACAGAAUUGCACUAUUUACUGAAUACAUAACGUAUUUGCUCUCUAAACAUCUCUUGUUAUGUCAUAUUAUGAAGACCCUGCCAUUUCUG